AGAGUUUGAUCCUGGCUCAGAUUGAACGCUGGCGGAAUGCUUUACACAUGCAAGUCGAACGGCAGCACGGGGGCAACCCUGGUGGCGAGUGGCGAACGGGUGAGUAAUACAUCGGAACGUGCCCAGUCGUGGGGGAUAACGUAGCGAAAGCUACGCUAAUACCGCAUACGAACUCUGGUUGAAAGCGGGGGAUCGCAAGACCUCGCGCGAUUGGAGCGGCCGAUGGCAGAUUAGGUAGUUGGUGGGGUAAAGGCUCACCAAGCCCACGCUCUGUAGCUGGUCUGAGAGGACGACCAGCCACACUGGGACUGAGACACGGCCCAGACUCCUACGGGAGGCAGCAGUGGGGAAUUUUGGACAAUGGGCGCAAGCCUGAUCCAGCCAUUCCGCGUGCAGGAUGAAGGCCCUCGGGUUGUAAACUGCUUUUGUACGGAACGAAAAGGCCUGGGUUAAUACCUCGGGCUCAUGACG
rnacentral:rRNA from 1 species